GACGAACGCUGGCGGCGUGCCUAACACAUGCAAGUCGAGCGGGGAUUUAAGUGGAAGUUCUUCGGAAUGCAGAUUUAAAUUCUAGCGGCGGACGGGUGAGUAACGCGUGAACAAUCUGUCCCGGACAGGGGGAUAACACUUGGAAACAGGUGCUAAUACCGCAUAAGACCACGGCCUCGCAUGGGGCUGAGGUAAAAGGAGCAAUCCGGUUCGGGGUGAGUUCGCGUCCGAUUAGCUAGUUGGUGAGGUAACGGCCCACCAAGGCGACGAUCGGUAGCCGGCCUGAGAGGGUGAACGGCCACAUUGGAACUGAGAGACGGUCCAAACUCCUACGGGAGGCAGCAGUGGGGAAUAUUGGGCAAUGGGCGAAAGCCUGACCCAGCAACGCCGCGUGAGGGAAGAAGGUUUUCGGAUUGUAAACCUCUGUCCUAUGGGACGAAGGAAGUGACGGUACCAUAGGAGGAAGCCCCGGCUAACUACGUG
rnacentral:rRNA from 1 species